rnacentral:rRNA from 1 species
CCUACGGGGGGCUGCAGUGGGGAAUUUUGGGCAAUGGGCGAAAGCCUGACCCAGCAACGCCGCGUGGAGGACGAAAUCCCUCCGGGAUGUAAACUCCGAAAGUCAGGGAAGAAAUACCGCGGGCGAAUAAUCCGCGGGGAUGACGGUACCUGAAAUAAGCCCCGGCUAACUACGUGCCAGCAGCCGCGGUAAUACGUAGGGGGCAAGCGUUGUUCGGAAUUACUGGGCGUAAAGGGCGCGUAGGCGGCACGGCAAGUCGGGAGUGAAAGCCCGGG